UACGGGCGAUAUUGAAGAAAUUUUAGUUAGUUGUAUACCAACACUUGAUCCUUUUAUUGACAUUUCUGAUGGUGGGGCAUAUGCUUGUUCAUAUCAAUUUAUUACUAUUUUAACGUUAUCAUUUUGUUUAGCGUUUUUCCUACACAAAAAGUUAAAGUGUAUAUGCUGAUAAGGACCUUAGUGUAUAGAUUGCUUCUUCUGUUAUUGUUAUCAUUAUUUCUUGAUUUAUUUGUUCAUUAAUUUUUUAUAAAUGUGUUACUGGCACUAGAUUAAAGGUGGAUCUGUAUUUUAAGUGUGAAAACUGCUUAUGGUAUUUGUUCAUUGAUUAUUGUUUUAUUAGAAUUAAUUUGUUUAAAGGUCCUACUUGUGCAAAUAGAGUAUCGAAGAGUAAAAGUAAAAGCGCAUUCUCUAUCUCAGGAUUUAAAUAAAGAAGUUGCCUUUUCUGUUAAUGUACAAUGAACAUCUCAUAAUCAAGAAACAGUUUGUUCUAUGGACAUUGCCGUAUUCUUUAAAAGAUUGUGUUAAUGGUUGCUGAAUUCAUUAAGGCAUCAGAUUCAAUGAAGGACCAUUAAUAAUAUAGCAUUGAUAUUGCCUGAGCACAGAUGGC
rnacentral:lncRNA from 1 species